AUUAUUGAUGGAGCUCACUGUUAGGCAAGGCCUCCUGUCACCCUAGACCAACACAAUACAGCUCUUCAGCCUCACUGCAGCGGGCACAGACGUCUCCGUAAAGCAGCCCACGUGCGUGCCCGCCCAAGGCAAUGUGAGGGUGGCUGUCAUUCAAGCUGCUGCUCAAAGGCAGAGCGCCUUUUCUCAGACUGAGUGAAUAGCAGAGGUAUCAGGAACAAAUGACAGGAGAGACAGGGACUUUAGAGACUUUCUCUCUGAAGAAUGUGGUCAAGAAGGACCAAAUACUGUCUAAUAAGACAAAAUUAUAUCAAAGCUAUAAAUCGGUAUCAUUUUUCUUAUCUACAGAUUCUAAAGGGUUUAUGUAUUCAUUGUCUCAUUUCUUACUUAGAUUUACAAUGGAGACUUCAAAGCUUGAAAUGUAAAUGAUUUAGCUAAAAUCAUGAUUGAACUUCUAAAAUUCAACUCUGAACAAAUACUCAAAAUGAAAUGUACCAAGUGCUUAAGCAAAACAAAGUUAGAAUUUCCAUGGAAACAGCCUGGAACUCUGGAAGCAGAAGAGAGGACAAAGGCAUGCAAACACAUUUAUUUAUUUUUUAGUUCCUCUUCACCUCUGCCCCUCCAAACCUCAAGCUGUCAUCUUAAUGAAGGCUUUCAAGCCUCAGAGGGAAUUAAGAAGAACAAUAUUUGACAGGAGUGAGAAAAGAACUAAAUAUAGUUCCCUUGUGAGAGAAAUGUAUUCCAUAAUCUCAUCCAUUCGCCUUCCCUUAUCUGGGUAAUCUCUCCAUCUUUCGACGUUAUUUUUGUGCUGCUUUUAUUGCAAAGCCAGUUGAGCUGUUCCUUGGUAGGGAACAGAAUAGAGAGAACAUGAGAUACGAUUCUGUCCUCUUUUGCAAGGGUUAUUUUAUGAGACAAUUGAGUUCAGUUACCAAGUUAAUAUUGUACAUAUUUCCUCAGUAAUUUCCUUGCUUAAUGCUUUCGAAUUUCUAAAAUGCUCUCGUCUCCCUUAAUUUAUUCAAUGAAUACAACCUGAGAAGUAGAUGGAGCAACUCUGCUGGCUACUAUCAACCCACAUUUGAUCCGUUUGGAAGGGUUUAAGAUCACCCUGCUGAUAAGUAAUGAAGCCAGGACUCACCCAGCACUUUGGAUCUCAGCCCCAUUGCUUUCUCUAGCUCUACAAUAGUGUGCCUGACCAACCAUUAUGUCAUGGGUAUUCUCUCCUUCUUCUUAGGUAUUAAAAACUUCUAUUUAUUUCUUUUUAGAAAUGUAUUACUGGCCGCGCAUGGUGGCUCCAGCCCAUAUUCCCAGUACUUUGGAAGGCUACAGUGGGAGGAUCGCUUGAGUUCAGGUGAGACCAGCCCGGAGAGUAUCGUGAGAAUCCAUCUCU